GGAAAGAGCUCAUGCAGCUGGCACAACCUGUGUGCUUCAGAGUGUCUGAGACCAAGGGCAGUGACGGCAGCAAGUGACCAGUCGAGAAUCAGCACUGGCUGCUGAUGCUGGUGCUGAUGGAGGUGCUGAUGCUGGUGCUGAUGCUGAUGCAGUGUCACCUGCCUCAGGAUUUUGUUCUCCAACACCUUCUAAUGGGUUGAACAUAGUGCUGAACGGCCAACAGCUGAGGCAAAAGAGGAUAGGUCGGACUUGCCGCAGAGACAGGAUCUCCGGGAAGGAAUCUUGGGCAUUGUCAGCCAGAUAUGGAGGAAGAAGUGCUGGGACUGGACGAUUGCUGAGAGACGCCAGGCCACGAGACUAUUGUUGGAUUUUUCUGGGGAGACUAACAUCUGGAAGGAACCCAAAAAUACAUGUGCAUGGGGGCAGAUGGUCCCCUCCAGCCAGCCUUAUAGGUCAGAUGGGACUGUCCAGGACUUUUACUACGGAAGGAGCUCUCCAAACGCUCAGAAGGCAGCCAUUGUUCAAGCGGGCAUGGAGGAGGUGGGAGUGAAUGCCCUUUGUCAGGGGACAUGAAGAGUGGAGGCAGCAAGUAGCCAGUGGCAGUGUCAGUGGUGACAGCUUUUUUCUGGUCACCUGACCUUAGCAGUAUCUGGCUGCCCAAAUCCUCUUGGGUCCUAGUGGGGUUUUGUAAAAUUCAUCUUGCAUUUGUUUAUCUGUGGGGGCAGAGACACACACAGUGGGGUGUGUGGAGGUCGGAAAAGAGCUUGCAGGAGUUGCUUAUCCUCUGCUGUGUGGUUCCUGGACACUGAACUGGAGUUGUCAGGCUUGGAGGCAAGCAGUUUUACUAUCUGGAUUUGGAUCUUGAAAUUUUGGGCUUCCCACUGAUUCUGUGAACCAUCCUGAUGUUAUUA